GAUGAACGCUGGCGGCGUGCCUAAUACAUGCAAGUCGAGCGAACAGACGCGGCGCUUGCUCCUCUGACGUUAGCGGCGCACGGGUGUGUAACACGUGUAUAACCUCCCUAUAAUACUGGUAUAACUUCGGGACUCCGGAGCUAAUCCCGUAUAAUAUCUUGAUCCGCAUGGUUCAUUAGUAAAAUACGGUUUUGCUGUCUCUUCUCGAUGGUUCCGCGCCGCUUUAGGUAGUAGUUAAGGUAACGGCCUUCCAAGGCUAGGAUGCGUAGCCGACUUGAGAGGGUGAGCGGCCACACUGGAAGUGAGACACGGUACAGAGUCCUACGGGAGGCAGCAGUAGGGAAUCGUCCGCAAUGGGCGAAAACCUGACGGAGCAGCGGCGAGUGAGAGAUAGAGGUCUUGGGAUCGUGAAAAUCUGUUAUUAGGGAAAAACAAAUGUGUAAGGAGAUAUGCACGGAUUGACGGUACCGAAUAAGAAAGCAACGGCUAACUACGUG
rnacentral:rRNA from 1 species